GAAAUAUAUAAUAAUAUCUAUUAACUUUCUAUUAUACACUAGCAGCUGAUUUCCCGCAGCACUGUCGACUGUCGAGGUUUUUCCUCUCACGUCGCGUCCCUAGCAAUCGCUUAAUUUUCCUCAGUUCCAUUUGAACUUAGGGGAGGACAGCUCGCCGCGCCGAGCCUUCCCAUUCGCGAGGGAAUUACAAUUUCCCAACACUUAGUCACGCGAUAAUAAAAAACCUUUCAGAACAUAUUUUUUUUAAACGAAACAUGUGAGGCUUCUUGUGCGUUAAGUAUUUCUUCAUGCCGGUUCGGAUGCCGAUAUAAAAGUGAGGAGUGCGUUCCUCAGGAGAUGGUCAGUUCACCCGGGAGCUCAGAACGGCCACAAAAAUUGCUCCCCACGGGUACGGCAGUCCGGCGCGCGCGUACAUCGCCUACCACAAGCUCGGCGGCGCCAGCAUGGACACCCAGACCCCGCCACAGGAGUGCGAGUGCGGCGUGCAUCCAUCCGUCUUCUACUUGCUCGCUACGCUGCUUCUCACGAGUUGCUCAACGGCAAUGCUAUGCGCGUCCAUCAUGACAGACCACUGGGAGCACGUGGUGUGGGAGCGAGCCGCGCUAGCGGCGCUAGCCAACGCGUCCAGCACUACGCUGCAGUGGCUACUGGACGAGAAAGUCGCUAAAAUCGAGCACACAGGACACAGGAAGGGUGGGGGGACAUUCCUGGUUCCUAUGAACGGCGGCAUAUGGACGAUGUGCGUGUCUCUGGAAGAGGAGGAAGUGUCGAUAUUGUCCAGAGCCGGCUUCCCGACACAGCCGGUAUGCACCAACUAUUUGGCUGACAGCGAGGAUGAUGAGCCCAGGGCGGACUGGCAGCACCGUAUGCAGAACCUAUCCAUAUCGUGCGCGCUCGUGUGCCUCAUAGUCCUAGGGAGCGCUGCUCUGGUGGGCGCCUUUGGAGUCUGCAAGCAUCAGAUCAGCGCAGUCUUGGUUACUGGGGUCAUGUACCUUCUAGCUGGUCUGUUCGCGAUGUUCACCCUUAUGAUAAUCCACUUCAAGCGCGUCCAGCGCACGUCGACGCGCGGUGUCCACGGCGACGGCACCGGAGACGGCGUCGUAGGCCCCCAGGCCCCGGCCUACCCACUCCUAGCCGCCAGGGAAUUCUCUACAGCUUGGUCACUAGAACUAGGGUGGGGAGGAGUGGUUCUGGCUACCACUACGUCGCUGCUUUGGAUUCUUUUGUCGAAAAUUAUGAGAUAUAAUCCUUUGUCCGCGAUGUUGUUGUAAGUUUUUGAUGACAUUUAAGUGGAGGUAAGCAGUCGUCAACUCACAGGCCCCAGGUUACCCCCUUCUAGCUGCCAGAGAAACUUCAACAUCAAGGCACUAGGGCUGGGGUGAAGGGGAGUGGUCCUAGCUACCACUACAUCGCUGUUUUUGAUUCUUUUGUCGAAAAUUAUGAGGUAAAAUAUUUUUUCGCGACGUUGUUGUAAGUUUUAGAUGUUUUAUGUUGGAACCGCUGGACUGUCGGAUGUCAAAAUUAAAGUAGGUACCCCUGAUAUUUAGGUACGAAUAUGUGUAAGCCCUCAGGCUCCGGCUUAUCCCCUCCUAGCUGCCAGAGAAUUCUCUACAGCUUGGUCACUAGAGCUACGGUAGUGGUUUGGAUUUUUUUUGUUGAAGAUAUAAUCCUAUGUUCACGAUGUUGUUGUAAGAUUUUGUUUCAUAUGGACUGUUAGAUGCUACGAGUAUAAUGUCAAAUUUUAAGUGGGUACGAGCACUUACUCCAAAUAUCUUACCACGGAGUAGGGCCCGACCUUGGGUACCCUCAACAGUAUAAGAAUUAUCACCACCUUGGUCACUAAAACGAAGGUGGAAGGGAGGAACAGUCAGCAUCAAAAGUAGCGGAUAAGUACAUGUCAAAAGUAUCUUCCUACCAUUCUUUAAUAAUUUAACAAAAAGCGAUAUCGAUAUGUUUUUAAAUGUAGCAAUUAGAUCGUGAUUGAUACUUUGGAACGCGAACUGGUAGUGAAUAUUUGACGAAGUCCACUACUAUCGAUGCUGAUUGUGCUCGCCCGACAAUAACAUCGCAGCUCUGGAUUUUUUCGUCAGUCUAAAAUCUUCGUAACUACUUUAAGGUGGAAGGAAUACUCCAUACCAAACUUCAAGUUCGUACCAUUGGUUUUUGGCAGACCGAGAGAGAUAUACCGGCAUCCCCACAAUUUAAUUGAAUACUAGGCAUAGCAUCGAAAAUUUAAAGCCGCAUUAAUUGGAAUUCUAAGUAAGGUUAACCGGGAUGUAUGCAACUGUGGGUCCUGAACGCCUAUUUUGUUUUAUCCUCCAAGCAGCUCAGGCUUUUAUCAAUAGAUGACGGGAGCUCUUAUAAUUAACGUUAUUUAAAAAAGAACUCGAAUGACGCAAUAAUGCCACAGUGGCAUUUAUCCCGGUUGACCUUAAGCGAAAUUAAUGGAUGUUUGUGGAUCACUUUGUGUGAAAUAUAUUUAUCUUCAGCCAGAUGUUACACAGUGUAUUCUUUUAUAUUAAAGCUGAUGGCACAAAUGUUUAAGCGUGGUUUUAAGAUACAAAAUAUGAUGUUGUAAUUGUAAGUGACUACUUAUAACGUUACACUGUUAGUCAAUUACUUAAUGGCUCUUCGUCUUUAUAGACUCGUAAAAACUCGAUAAAACUGCAUUUUGGAAAAUGCUGCCUUUUCACUCUAUCAUAAUCUAAAUAAGUGGAUUCGGUCAUUCGAAAAAUUCAAAAGAAAGAAUCUUUUAAUGAGCAUGCAGGUAUCUACUAUCGAACAACUUGAUUCCUGACCUGCUGCGAAACCUUUUCAUAUUUACUACUACAUUGGAUAUACAUUAAUUUAAAAAGUAAAAUUAUUAUGACUUUCCUACUGUGAAUACGUUCUAUGGUGGGACGCAAAUCAGUUUGAUCGAUUGUACAUUAAAUAGGUAUUCAUGUAACACAUCCACCUGUACAUAUUUUAAGAUUGCGACUGGCAUUUAUAGUGUUACCUGAAUAGUUAAAAAUUGUUGUAAUUAUGCAUUUAUAUUUAGAUAAACGCCGAGCUUGCUGCCGUCCAAGUUAUUGUUAACUUCUUUGUAAACCUAAUGUAUUAAUUUCAACGUUUAACCUUUUCACACCGUGUGCUCAAAACAGGAAUGUAUUUAUCUAACCGGACCUAAACCGAAAUAAAAAUAUAGUCAGUGUCGAUAGUUCCAAAAAAAAAGUAGUACAUUAUUGUCGAGGCUCGCCAGUAGCAAUUUGCUGGUAUUCAUUUUAAACGGACGACCGGAGUCGGUAGUGAUCAGCAUGGCUACCACAAGUUGGCAUUUGACAUUUAUGGUAGCAACUGCACGAACUCGAUCGCAUUCCCUCUCUAUCGCACCAAUACGUCAGUGCGCGCGAAAUUGACUGCGAUCGAGUUUAUGCAGUCGCUAACGUAAACGUCAAACGAGUUGGUAAACUCGUGGUAUCACUAAUUUGUUCUUUUGUAGGGAUGAUGAAUGUCGCUGGUGAAAAGGUUAAACGCUGUCCUUCAAGAGCUUCUAUGGAUUUUGACCUGUAAAUUUACUUUAAAUAUCAAUUUAAAGCUUUGUGUACUCUCCUGUACCUGUCUAUGUACUUUUGAAUAUGAAUUUAUAAAUUACAGCAUUCACAUUAUCUGUUAUAAGCACUACUAAUAGAUAUAUAUUAUAAUUAUAUAUGACGUAUUCAGUUUAAUGGUAUCCCUUUGUUGGUUAUUAAUAAAUAAAUCAAUAUAAACUUCUAGAUUCAAUUGUGAUACCUUUUACCUGAGAAUGCCAUAUAUUUAAAAAAAGAUUAAUUACAUAUUUGCCUAGAAUAAAAACACACUCAGCUUUCUCGCACUGUUGACAUUAUCACGUUACAAAUGAAGAUUGUUAGAAUACUCGGCCCCUAGUCAAAGUUGUAGAAAUUUAUCUAUUAUAGUGUCCGGCUGAAUGGGUGCGUUCAAAAACGUUUCAUUAUUUCAUCUGCCGUUCUCAUGUGCAAUGUAUAUAGCAAGUAUGUAGACAUCAGAAUGAUUUCUAAGAACUUAAGACGCACAAAUUUUUUGUAUGCGUUGUUUUGACAGUUGAACUAGGUAGUAGCUAAGUAGAUAUGCACGCCACACGAGACCGUGCGCGUUGAAGGGUCAGCCAUCUUGUGGCCUAAUUCCAAAUAUAUACUUGACGUUCACAUAAAAUAAAUCGCACUCACUUGACGUUUACACUUCGCGCCAAUAAGCAGCGCGCGCCUGUGCUGGGCGGCUACCGGGAAAAUCGAAAUUCGUCAAUUGCGGGCAUUUUUCUCUGUCGCUCUGAUUACGUCUUACGAAGAGUAAAAAAGAAAGAUCCCCGCAAUUUGCGAAUUUCGGUUUUCGCGGUAGGCCCCCUGCCUCCUACAGAUGUAGUGCAUUGCAUAAUACGCUCGUAUUUCAGAACUUUUUGUACCGAGACUGACUAAAAUAGCAAGGCACGUUCGUAAGUUCCGAUGAAAAAUAAUUAGGCACUACUUCUGUACAAUUCCCGCGCGCUCCCUAUUAGGCUAUUCAGCUGCCAGUUGCUACAACCACACCGACACACACAUUGAUACCAUUUAUCAACGCCAGCUAAGCUACCGGCCGCCUUUACCGUGGCCCCGAAACCUGGCCCCGCUCAAACAGUAUCACCAGGCUAGGGGUCGUGGGGUUGGGUAACGAUCGGUAGCGAAGAGCUGGCCCGCACACCAGCAGCACACACCGUCCUCCAAAAGACGUGCAAUUGAUCUCUCCACAUUGGUGGGGAGCGACCCGCCACAGCCGCCAUAGCCGAAAGGCGGAAACGGCCACUCAUGCCUCUCUUCCAAAGCGCCGGGAGCCGCGCGAGCAGGGCCUCGAGGCACGCGGCGGCGGCGGCGCGGCACGCGGGCGCGGCGUCGUUGAGCAUGCUCGCGCCCAGCGCCAGCAGCAGGUAGUCGCCUUGCUUGCUGAGCUGGGCCUGUAUCAUGUAUCAUUUUAAAGAAAAAAAAACGACUUCAAUGCGGGACACAGGCGAAAGAAAUAAAAAAAUUGUCUUGAAAACCUAAUUUGCCUAAAAAACAUAACGAAGAAGACAAAUCGCCAAGCGGGAACUAUGCGUCGUUGAAGAGUUCCAUUCUGAUCAGCAUCAGUAGUUCCACUUCAUCAAAUGUCACUUUUUUUAAAUGUUAAUGCUUGAUUUGUUGAUGAAAAUACAAAAAUCACUAUA